rnacentral:rRNA from 1 species
ACGCUCGACACCUACUGGAGGCAGCAGUGGGGAAUAUUGCACAAUGGAGGAAACUCUGAUGCAGCGAUGCCGCGUGAGGGAAGAAGGUUUUCGGAUUGUAAACCUCUGUCUUUGGGGACGAUAAUGACGGUACCCAAGGAGGAAGCUCCGGCUAACUACGUGUCAGCAGCCGCGGUAAUCUGAGCGGGCUGGCAAGGC